AAACGGAGCUGUAGAGUGAAAUGACAUAAAGCGGGGAAUUUUUUCCUGUGGCUGAUUUCCAUUUGCGCACAUUGAGGGAGGGGGUUGUGCGAUGUAAGAGCGAGGAAUGGGAGGACUUACAACGCAUCAGGUCCUACCGGCAUCAACGACGUUAGUGUGGAAUGGAUGUAUACAGGGGCGACUUAUAGCAGAGACGCCCUGUGUCUAAAUCACAGCCCAGGUCUCUGCAGUGCCCUGGCAGCAAUUAGCAGCUAAGGAGCACUGCACACUUGGAUAACGUUCAGCUUUACCCGAGCCGUGAUGGUCACAUCCAAUCCAAACCCUUCCAGAAGCUGAUUUGGAAAUGAAGAGCUCUUGACUGACAUUCUUAUUUGAUGCCCUGCUGCUUCCAAAUUAUCUCUCCGGUGGUGGGGAGAGGAAGGAUUUCCCCUCCAUUUCUUACUGCUCUGAACAUCUGCAUGAAAACAGGAUCCGCCUUUCCCUGUGAGUUCCACCUGCUCCAGCCGCUGCCUCCCUCUCUGACAUCACAGUCCCUCGUUUGUGAUGUCACCAUUGGUUGCGGUGGGGAUGAUUCUGACCUCACAGACUCAGAAGCCAGCGGGGGACAGACGCCGCCCCAGCCGCUGGACCCGUCAAGGAGCAAAGAUCCUGCAAAUGCCUCUUGAAAGGUCAGAGUGCGGGGGGAGAGAACCGCCGUGGUGGGAUGUGUGGCGACGAGGCAGAAGCAGAAUCACCCCAGGGAAGGCAUUAACAGGGCAAAUCCAGCUCCUACCUGCAGCAAGAGGGCUGGCACCCCUGAGCCAGGCCCUGCCCCUGGGUGCGUGAACGGCUGCAUGCCAGGAGCACAGGCUGCGCUCAGGAGCCAGGCGCAAGUGGGUAAUGCCCCGGCAUGCAGAGCUGUGCCCCACUAUCUGCAGAGGGCUCUCCCUCGCUCAGCUUCCACCCAGGCUGUUGCAGCCCCCCGGCGCUCUGCCCUGGGCUCAGCCUGCAUCGGACCGUUGGAGGCGAGAUAGGACGCGAUGCUGCCCGCCUGCCGGCUAUUCCAGGCCCGGGGUGCCUGCAUGGGGCUCAGACCGUCCUAGGAAUCUGUGGACAGGGUUAGCUUCAGCCCUGGGCUGCGGCGUGUGUCUGUGGACGUCCCACAUCCUGCGCGUGGCGGGAGAGCAGCCCUGGGGGAGCGUGCCGUUGGCCUUCUGCAGAGCUGGGCUGCUGCAAAUGAAGCUGUUUUGAUCCAUUCUCUCUGCAGUCUUCUGUCAUUAGCUUCCGCAAAGAUGGGGAUUUCCCUCUGAACCUGGAGGGGACCAAGGGCAGGCGAGCGCCGACUCCAGGGCAGCUUCGUUGAGGCCUCAGUGCUGCUGCUACCUCACCCCUGGUCCCCUUCCUGGAGUCGCUAGGCAGGAGCCAUUCCACACGUGCAUUUUGUGAGCGGGGAAUGGAGGAAAUACUAAAAGGACCCAGUGUAGGGCUGCAGAGCAGAGCUUCCUCUCUCAGCACAAGCUGCUCCCUCUCCCUCUCCACUCUGGGGUUUCCUCAGGCUUUGCUCUGUAUUUGCCUCACGCAGGUGCUGAGGGGACCAGCUACAAACAACCCCCUCCUGUGUCUCUGCACGGAAAGGGCCCAGGCCCUGUUUUA